GGUAACUGCACACGGGUGGGAUUGAACCGGUUCCUCUGGAUACCCUUCCCCUCAAGGCUUCCAAUCCCGGAGAAGGAGCACCAAUGACCUUUGACCCUUCUCUGGGAGAAAGGGAGGCAGGACCCACAGGGUAAGGGCUUCAGUGCUGCUCCCUCCACUGGGCCCUGCCCACAGGGCACCCCGGGCCCACCUUGUCUAGGAGCUUGUCCAUCUCCUCCUUUCUGGCCAGCUCCGACUCCUCCAGAACCCGACGCUGUGCAGUCUCCUUUUUCAGGAACUCGAUCUCCCUGGGCGCAGGCAAGGGACAGAUGGCAGAGCCCCAUGCCAGUGUGUGACGACACAGUCACUGGUUUGCAGAUGCAUAAGAACAACGAUCAACUCUGGCUUUGCCCAUCAUGGUGAUGAGAACAGUACUGGACAUCUAGAAGGGUCUCAUUCUGUUACCCAGGCUGGAGUGGAGUGCAGUGGCACAAUCACGGCUCACUGCGGCCUCGACCUACCCUGGCCCAAGUGAUCGUCCCACCUCAGCCACCCAAGUAGCUGGGAUCACCGAUGUGCGCUACCACACCUGGCUAAUUUUUGUAUUGUUUGUAGAGAUAGGUUUUUGCCAUGUUGCCCAGGCUGGUCUCUAACUCCUGGCUCAAGCAGUCUGCCUUGGCCUCCCAAAGUGCUGAGAUUACAGGCAUGAGCCACUGCGCUCAGCCUACUUUGACUUUUUAUUGAGCACCUAUUAUGUCAGACAUUGUGCUAAAGACUUGACGUGUAUUAUCUCAUUUAAUCCUACAACGACCGUGUG